UACGUAGGGUGCAAGCGUUGUCCGGAAUUAUUGGGCGUAAAGAGCUCGUAGGCGGUUUGUCGCGUCUGCUGUGAAAACCCGAGGCUCAACCUCGGGCCUGCAGUGGGUACGGGCAGACUAGAGUGCGGUAGGGGAGACUGGAAUUCCUGGUGUAGCGGUGAAAUGCGCAGAUAUCAGGAGGAACACCGGUGGCGAAGGCGGGUCUCUGGGCCGAUAUUGACGCUGAGGAGCGAAAGCGUGGGGAGCGAACAGG
rnacentral:rRNA from 1 species